rnacentral:rRNA from 1 species
UACGGGGGGGGCAAGCGUUGUUCGGAAUUACUGGGCGUAAAGGGCUCGUAGGCGGCCAACUAAGUCGGAUGUGAAAUCCCCAGGCUUAACCUGGGAACUGCAUCCGAUACUGGAUGGCUUGAAUUCGGGAGAGGGAUGCAGAAUUCCAGGUGUAGCGGUGAAAUGCGUAGAUAUCUGGAGGAAUACCGGUGGCGAGGGCGGCAUCCUGGACCGACAUUGACGCUGAUGAGCGAAAGCUAGGGGAGCAAACAGG